rnacentral:rRNA from 1 species
GGCGUUUGGGAGAAGCCUCUCCCUCCGGAUUUGCGGGAGCCCAAGUCCCCCUGACCGGGGCCAUCGCCCGUAGAGGGUGCAAGGCCCGUGGGGCUUUUUGCGACCGGAGAACGGCUCUCUCUCCCAGGAGUCGGGUUGCUUGGGAGUGCAGCCCUAAGCUGGUGGUAAACUCCAUCUAAGGCUAAAUACUUUUACGAGACCGAUAGCAAACAAGUACCGUGAGGGAAAGUUGCAAAGAACUUUGAAGAGAGAGUUCAAGAGUACGUGAAACCGCUCGGAGGUAAACGGGUGGGCCCACGAAUGCAUACAGAAGGGGAUUCAACUCGUUGACUGUAUGGCCGUGCCUCGCAGGUUCUUCUUUUUUGAACGGAUCCUUGAGACCGAUCUGCGAAGCAGUGGUCGUCAGCGGGCGCACUUGCCCUUCUCGCAUCUCUUUUUUUUUUUUCUUUCCCCCNNNNNNNNNNNNNNNNNNNNNNNNNNNNNNNNNNNNNNNNNNNNNNNNNNNNNNNNNNNNNNNNCGCGAGUCGUAGGGUGCGUAAGCGAAACCCGAAGGCUUAAUGAGAGUAGAAGGUCGGCAAUUUUGUCCGUCGACCGAGGCGGGAUCCGUCUUUUGUUUAAAAAUUUUUAUUGAUAUAAAAAAAAAAGUAAAACCCUYCCUUUUYCCAAAUUUUUUUUUUUUUUCCUCUCUCGCAAGGGAGAGGGAAAGAGGAGGUUGGGAAAGGAGGGGAAAGAACGGCGCACCGCCGGCCCGUCUCGACCGCAACGCCGGUGAGGCGGCGCAGUAGCGCACACGUUGGGACCCGAAAGAUGGUGAACUAUGCCUAGGCAGGACGAAGCCAGAGGAAACUCUGGUGGAGGUCCGUAGCGUUUCUGACGUGCAAAUCGAUCGUCGGACCUGGGUAUAGGGGCGAAAGACUAAUCGAACCAUCUAGUAGCUGGUUCCCUCCGAAGUUUCCCUCAGGAUAGCUGGCGCUCAAGAGAUAACAGUCUCAUCCGGUAAAGCGAAUGAUUAGAGGCCUUGGGGCCGAAACGACCUCAACCUAUUCUCAAACUUUCAAUGGGUAAGAAGUCCGGCUUGCUCGACUGAAGCCCGGACCCACGGAUGCGAGUGCCCAGUGGGCCACUUUUGGUAAGCAGAACUGGCGCUGUGGGAUGAACCAAACGCCGGGUUACGGCGCCCAAUGCGACGCUCAUGAGACACCAUGAAAGGUGUUGGUUGCUAUAGACAGCAGGACGGUGGCCAUGGAAGUCGGAAUCCGCUAAGGAGUGUGUAACAACUCACCUGCCGAAGCAACUAGCCCUGAAAAUGGAUGGCGCUCAAGCGUGGAGCCUAUACCCGGCCGUCGGGGCAGAGACCGUAGGGCCUUAGAAAAAAAGAAAAAUAGUUUUAUUUUUUUUUUUUUUUUUAGGUCGCGGGGCUGCCGAUGCUCCGACGAGUAGGAGGGUCGCGACGGUGAGCGUURAAGGGUCGGGCGWAASCCCSCCUGGASCCSCCGUCGGUGCARAUYUUGGUGGUAGUASCAAAUACUCGAGUGARAACCUUGAGRACUGAUGUGGAGAAGGGUUCCAUGUGAACAGCAKUUGAACAUGGGUCWGUCGGCCCUAAGGAAUAGGGGAAACCCGUUCCGAACGGGGGGGAAAUAAGAUUUUMAUUCCCCCCGCCGAGACCGAAAGGGAAUCGGGUUAAUAUUCCCGAACCCGGACACGGAGAUUGGGCCCUCGUGGUCCAGUGCGGUGACGCAAACGAACUCGAAGACGUCGGCGGGAGUCCCAGGAAGAGUUGUCUUUUCUUUGUAAGGGACGGAAUCCCUGGAAUCGGCUCGCCCGGAGAUAGGGAUGUUGUUCCCGUAAAGCACCGCGCCUCCUGCGGUGUCUGGAGCGCUCCCGCCGGCCCUUGAAAAUUCGAGGGAGAAGGUGUGAUUUUCGUGCCGGGCCGUACCCAUAUCCGCAGCAGGUCU